AUAUAUUCUAUCUAUGAUUUAGUGGCUGAAUGUACAACAAAACACACUUAGUCAAGAUAAUGUGAGAGCUAGCAGAUGGAAUAUACAACAGAAUCUCGCUUAGUCUUGCCGGUAUCCCCUGAUCUAGUGACCGAAUUUACAACAGGAUUACACUUAGUCAAGCCAGGAUACCGGUGUCUGGCUGAACAUAUAUACACAGAAUUCAGCCUGACUACAGUCCCUGUGUUAAACGGGCUAGCUACAGAGCGUUUAACUUCAGAUAUACGGUGCGCCUUCGUAUCUUCCCUUUGUAGGAAAUGGGCAGUCAGAUUACUGGAUACAGAUUUCUACCCCUAGUGGGUUCACAGUCUUACAGUCUUACCUUUAAGUUCCUGGACCU